GAGGCAAGGCAGCAAUCCUACCAGUAAGUGCAAGAUUAUAGCAAACCGAAUUGAGAAUCAAUACUUCUCUAAAUAUUAGAUUGAUGUUUGACCUUGAAACUCACCAUCUCAAUUUGCAAAAAGUUGCCGUUAAUUAGGGGAGUAAGUCUAUGCCUACAUAAUUCUUUGAUGGCGGAAUUGGUUACUUCAUGGAUGGGGGCUAAGGGGAAACCCUCUCCAUUGAUUUGAGUGGUAUGCAUUCUUAGUCCAUAUGCUGGGGAGUAAACAAGACAAUGGAU
rnacentral:lncRNA from 1 species